UACAGAGGUCUCAAGCGUUGUUCGGAUUCAUUGGGCGUAAAGGGUGCGUAGGCGGCGCGGUCAGUCGGGUGUGAAAUCUUGGAGCUUAACUCCGAAACUGCAUUCGAUACUGCCGUGCUUGAGGACUGGAGAGGAGACUGGAAUUUACGGUGUAGCGGUGAAAUGCGUAGAUAUCGUAAGGAAGACCAGUGGCGAAGGCGGGUCUCUGGACAGUUCCUGACGCUGAGGCACGAAGGCCAGGGGAGCAAACGGG
rnacentral:rRNA from 1 species